AAACCAACAGGGAUUGCCCCAGUAACGGCGAGUGAAGCGGCAACAGCUCAAAUUUGAAAUCUGGCCCCCAGGGCCCGAGUUUGUAAUUUGUAGAGGAUGCUUUUGGCGCGGCGCCUUCCGAGUUCCCUGGAACGGGACGCCAUAGAGGGUGAGAGCCCCGUCUGGUUGGACGCCUAGCCUCUGUAAAGCUCCUUCGACGAGUCGAGUAGUUUGGGAAUGCUGCUCUAAAUGGGAGGUAUAUGUCUUCUAAAGCUAAAUACCGGCCAGAGACCGAUAGCGCACAAGUAGAGUGAUCGAAAGAUGAAAAGCACUUUGAAAAGAGGGUUAAAUAGUACGUGAAAUUGUUGAAAGGGAAGCGUUUGUGACCAGACUUGGGCCCGGUUGAUCAUCCACCGUUCUCGGUGGUGCACUCUGCCGGCCCAGGCCAGCAUCAGUUCGCGCCGGGGGAUAAAGGCUUCGGGAAUGUGGCUCCUCCGGGAGUGUUAUAGCCCGUUGUGUAAUACCCUGGUGCGGACUGAGGUUCGCGCUCCGCAAGGAUGCUGGCGUAAUGGUCAUCAGCGACCCGUCUUGAAACACGGACCAAGGAGUCGUCUUCGUAUGCGAGUGUUCGGGUGUCAAACCCCUACGCGUAAUGAAAGUGAACGCAGGUGAGAGCUUCGGCGCAUCAUCGACCGAUCCUGAUGUUCUCGGAUGGAUUUGAGUAAGAGCAUACGGGGCCGGACCCGAAAGAAGGUGAACUAUGCCUGUAUAGGGUGAAGCCAGAGGAAACUCUGGUGGAGGCUCGCAGCGGUUCUGACGUGCAAAUCGAUCGUCAAAUAUGGGCAUGGGGGCGAAAGACUA
rnacentral:rRNA from 2 species